GGACGUUCAGCGCGUCGGGUGAGUCGCUUCUUUCUCAUCGCUACAGUCUUUGAUUUUUUUCCCUGGUUUUAAUGCAUUAGAAAAGUUUGUUCUGAAGUAAGAAGUAUUGUAUUGCAGUGUAUACGUGACCCCGGAGCACAAAUCCAGUCUUAAGUCGCUGGAGUAGAUUAUAACCAAAAAUACACUGUACGGAUCAAAAUGAAUGAAUUUUCUUUAAAGCCAAAAAUCAUGAGGAUAUUCAGUAAAGAUCAUGUUCUAUGAAUAUAUUCUGUAAAUGUCCUAAUGUAAAUAUAACUAAACUUAACUUUUAAUUAAUAAUAUGCAUUUCUAAAACUUAAUUUGGACAACUUUAAAGGCGAUUUUUCUCAAAUUUUAAUUUUUUUACAUUUAUCAGAAUAGUAUCUCAGUCACAUAUUGUCCUGUCCAUCAAACCAUAGAUCAAUAGAAAGCUGAUUAAUUUAACACACAUUUUACCUUUAUGACUGUUUUGAGGUCCAGCUUCACAUAUGGACUAAAAUUAUGUUUAUAAUAUGGUCUGCCCUGUAUGGUUUUAUGUAUAUUUUCAUUUUCACACAGACUCCAGCGACGCAGAUUUAAAGGAUAAGAAGGAGAAGUAAAUCUGGAGCUGGAAGGAUUUUAAGGCUGAAGAAAGAGCAGUGAUCUUAUAAAGAAUAGUUCAGUUUCAGUCCUUGCUUAAAAACCUCAGGCUGCUGUACAUGUGCUCGGGUUGGUUUUUCUGUGCAAGUUUAUUUUAAUUUAAAGAUUUUUAAUGUCCCUUGCAGAAAACCGUGAUUUUGUCAUGUAAAAUGUUAACUGGUUGUAUUAUAAAUUCUUCAGGUUUUGAGCUUUGUUAAACAGAACGUGGUUGACGUAAACUAGGAUGUUACCUGCCUUUGUCUCUUCACCUCUAAAGAUGGAGAAAGGAGUCAGGAAGCAGAUUAUUCAUCUCUUACUUUGUGUUAUAAACAGAUGAAAUACAGAGGAUAUGUC